rnacentral:tRNA from 1 species
GCCCAGAUGGCGGAAUUGGUAGACGCACUAGUUUCAGGUACUAGCGGUCGAAAGAUUGUGCAGGUUCGAGUCCUGUUCUGGGCACCA